rnacentral:tRNA from 1 species
UCCCCGAUGGCACAAUUGGCUAGCGCGUCAGACUGUUACUGUUCGAACUGGUACAUGGGACCAAUGACGACCGUAAUCUGGAGGUUGGUGGUUCGAGCCCACCUCGGGGAG